rnacentral:lncRNA from 1 species
CCAGGUUUGGUUUGAAUUUGAGGUUAACCUAGGGUUAAGCUAAUCAGCUUUUGAAAAACCAUCCCCGGAUCUGCAAACAAGUUAUAACAAGGUUGUUGUGAAGCCGAUAUCAGGAUGUGUUCGCACUGCUUGUUCCCAGUUGUUGUGACAAGUCUGGAACAAGUUGUUAUCAUCUUGUUACAAGGUUGAUGACGGUAACAGACUUGCUACAAGUUGUUCCAAGAAGACAUUAAUACAGGCUGUUCGUAACAAGUUGCUACGAGCUUGUUGUCAUCAACUUGUUAACAACUUGUUACGUGCAGACGAUAUCAGACUUGUUGGAACAACUUGUUGCGAGUCUGUUAGCCUCGUCAACCUUGUUACAAGAUGAUAACAACUUGUUCCAGACUUGUCAACAACUGGGAACAAGCAGUGCGAACACAUCUCGUUGACAAUCCCUCUACGUGUAUGUGUGUCAACGUCACUGCAAUGAUGAGAAUUUUACCAAUUGAUGCAUGCAAAAAGAACAAAACUAUGCACUUACUCGUCUGACAUCCACAGCUACAACACCUGAAACAAACAGAACUUAUAUUUGGAACGCGUCGGGAGAAACUUGGAUAAGCAGACAUUCGACUGCCAUGUUGUCAACGACUGGAACAGUCUGACUGUGGAACUCCGGGAAAGAGAACAGUUUGCAUCAUUGAAAAUUGAACCUAACAGAAAAAUUUGACACUUAAGACACUCCAUCGAAGUGAUGGGACGCGAUAUGACAUAGCCAUAAUAGCAAUAGAUUUAACAUUACAGUAAGUUCACUAAUUAUUUUUCUUGCUCAGGGCUCCACUGAAAAUCAAAUUGUGAGUGGAUCUUCUAAUAUAUAUUGUAUGUAAUUAUUAUUAUUAGUAACUCGUUUGUUUAUCAGUCGAAUCUCUUCUUGCGGACACCACCUCUCGUAA